rnacentral:rRNA from 1 species
GCGCGGGGCCGCUGAGUCGCCGUCAAGGGGCUACUUCUAAAUUCUCCGCACUAGUAAGCCGUCUAAGAGGAACUUUUAAAAUAAUCGCUUCAAAAAAACUUUCAACAACGGAUCUCUUGGUUCUGGCAUCGAUGAAGAACGCAGCGAAAUGCGAUAAG